AGUGCCGCAGCAAUGCGGUCUCAGCAAAGAGUCCCUCCCGACUGUUUACCAAAAACACAGCACUUUGCCAACUCGUAAGAGGAAGUAUAAGGUGUGACGCCUGCCCGGUGCUCGAAGGUUAAGAGGAUGCGUCAGUCGCAAGAUGAAGCGUUGAAUUGAAGCCCGAGUAAACGGCGGCCGUAACUAUAACGGUCCUAAGGUAGCGAAAUUCCUUGUCGGUUAAAUACCGACCUGCAUGAAUGGCGUAACGAGAUGGGAGCUGUCUCAACCAGAGAUUCAGUGAAAUUGUAGUGGAGGUGAAAAUUCCUCCUACCCGCGGCAAGACGGAAAGACCCCGUGGACCUUUACUACAACUUAGCACUGCUAAUGGGAAUAUCAUGCGCAGGAUAGGUGGGAGGCUUUGAAGUAAGGGCUUUGGCUCUUAUGGAGCCAUCCUUGAGAUACCACCCUUGAUGUUUCUGUUAGCUAACUGGCCUGUGUUAUCCACAGGCAGGACAAUGCUUGGUGGGUAGUU
rnacentral:rRNA from 1 species